rnacentral:rRNA from 1 species
CGCUGAGUUUGAUCCUGGCUCAGGAUGAACGCUAGCGGCAGGCUUAACACAUGCAAGUCGAGGGGUAUAGUUCUUCGGAGCUAGAGACCGGCGCACGGGUGCGUAACGCGUAUGCAAUCUACCUUUUACAGAGGGAUAGCCCAGAGAAAUUUGGAUUAAUACCUCAUAGUAUUUUCGAAUCGCAUGAUUUGAUUAUUAAAGUUCCAACGGUAAAAGAUGAGUAUGCGUCCAAUUAGUUAGUUGGUGAGGUAAUGGCUCACCAAGACGAUGAUUGGUAGGGGAACUGAGAGGGA